GACGAACCGUGCGAACGUUGUUCGGAUUCACUGGGCUUAAAGGGCGCGUAGGCGGACGGUCAAGUCAGGGGUGAAAUCUUUCAGCUCAACUGGAAAAGUGCCUCUGAUACUGAUCGUCUCGAGGGAGGUAGGGGCAUGUGGAACUUCCGGUGGAGCGGUGAAAUGCGUAGAUAUCGGAAGGAACGCCGGUGGCGAAAGCGACGUGCUGGACCUCUUCUGACGCUGAGGCGCGAAAGCUAGGGGAGCAAACGGG
rnacentral:rRNA from 1 species